UCAGGUCUAAGGACAAAGCAUAUAUGUUGUUUAAAAAGAGAACUACUUCUCGUGUUGGGUCAGUCCUAGCACAUGUCUCCAUAUGUGUCCACAUUAUUAGUUCAACAUCUCCAUGUCCAUGACUUGUGAAACAUAGUCAUCAACUAAUACAUGUGCUAGUCUAAUAUUCAUGUGUGUCCUCACAUGAACUCCGACUAGGGACAACUUUAGAAUAACCAUACAAGUAAAGAGUUUCACAUACAAUUCACAUAAUUGCCAAUCAAUUCAAGUAGCCUUCAAUGGAUAUUCAAUGAACAGAACAUACAAAUCAUGGAUACAAAUGGAAUAUCAUCAUCUCUAUGAUUGGCUCUAGGGCAUACCUCCAAUAGUCUCC
rnacentral:lncRNA from 1 species